AUUGAACGCUGGCGGCAUGCUUUACACAUGCAAGUCGAACGGUAACGGGCCGCAAGGUGCUGACGAGUGGCGAACGGGUGAGUAAUGCAUCGGAACGUGCCCAGUCGUGGGGGAUAACUGCUCGAAAGAGCAGCUAAUACCGCAUACGAUCUAUGGAUGAAAGCGGGGGACCGUAAGGCCUCGCGCGAUUGGAGCGGCCGAUGUCAGAUUAGGUAGUUGGUGGGGUAAAGGCUCACCAAGCCAACGAUCUGUAGCUGGUCUGAGAGGACGACCAGCCACACUGGGACUGAGAAACGGCCCAGACUCCUACGGGAGGCAGCAGUGGGGAAUUUUGGACAAUGGGGGCAACCCUGAUCCAGCAAUGCCGCGUGCAGGAAGAAGGCCUUCGGGUUGUAAACUGCUUUUGUACGGAACGAAACGGUCUGGGUUAAUACCCUGGGCUAAUGACGGUACCGUAAGAAUAAGCACCGGCUAACUACGUGCCAGCAGCCGCAGUAAGAC
rnacentral:rRNA from 1 species